rnacentral:rRNA from 1 species
UGGUAUGACUGGUCUCGCUGAUCCCUCCCUCUUGACGAACUGUGAUGCCAUUAAUUUGGUGUCGCAGGGAAUCAGGACUGUUACUUUGAAAAAAUUAGAGUGUUUAAAGCAGGCUUUCGCUUGAAUACAUUAGCAUGGAAUAAUGAAAUAGGACGUUUGAUCCUAUUUUGUUGGUUUCUAGGAUUGACGUAAUGAUUAAUAGGGAUAGUUGGGGGCAUUAGUAUUCAAUUGUCAGAGGUGAAAUUCUUGGAUUUAUUGAAGACUAACUACUGCGAAAGCAUUUGCCAAGGAUGUUUUCAUUAAUCAAGAACGAAAGUUAGGGGAUCGAAGACGAUCAGAUACCGUCGUAGUCUUAACCAUAAACUAUGCCGACUAGGGAUCGGAUGAUGUUAAUUUUUUAAUGACUCAUUCGGCGCCUUACG